CGUGGGACGCAGCUCCUGGCGUCAGCUGCGUCUACCACCUCACUAACUCAGUCUCGCUCGGCUUCUGUGUGUUUGAUACUUUCAUUACCUCGGAAUGCUGUUCUUAAUAUACACUGAGAGGGUGCAAUAUUAUUUUUCAAGGUGUCAAUGGAAGCAACUAUAAAUUGAUUAAACUUGGUCGGCAACGCCCGAGGUGCUAUACGUCUGCAGUAGUCUGUAAGAAACAUCAGGGAGGAUAAGACAACAGCCUGUGUGAGGAGCAACACACGUCCACUUCGACAGGACAGAUUCUCUUCAAGUGGAAAACUAAACGUAAGAACAAGUCGAUACUGAUCUUGUGAACCAUAUUUAUGUACAGGUAGUCAUGAACCACAGCACAUCGUGUUCCCUCUUGGCCGUGUAAGGAAGUAGUACCUCAUAUACGAAGACCAGUGAGUGAAUUAUAAGACCCUUCACGACUGUGUGUGAGACACAGACCCUGCACCAUAAAUACCGACGACCAUGUCUACUGUAACAUGUAAGUUGCCAAACAUGACCAUCAUCAAGUACAGAGCGUCCGCCAUCAUCUUGCUCGUCUGUUUCACUGUGCUGCCCACACAAGGCAGACAGAGUGGGGCCAGGUCGUCCCAGCAACAAAUCACGUGGGGACGACCCAAUACAAACACAGCGUACUUCGCCAGAGACAUCAACACUAACGUGACGGCUGUAGUGGGGCAGCAGGCACGACUGCCCUGCAAGGUACUUAACCUGGACAAGAGAACUGUAUCGUGGAUCCGGAAGCGGGACCUUCACAUCCUGACGGCUGGCAUCUACACCUACACCAGUGACGACCGGUUUAAGGUGUAUCACCCGGUGGACAGUGAUGAGUGGUUCCUGGAGAUCAGUUCGGUCACCUUCAGAGACGGUGGCGUGUACGAGUGUCAAGUUCCAACCAACCCCAAGAUCUUCCUACCCAUCAACCUCGCCGUGGAAGUGCAGCAAGCGAGGAUCCACGGGCCCCGUGAAGUGUACAUCCAGAACGGCUCCACCAUCAAACUUACUUGUCACGUCACUACACAUGAGGACAACAUCGGUGUGGUCACCUGGUACCGGGACUCUAAUGAACUGGACUACGACUCUCCCAGGGGAAGAGUCAGCUGCUGUACACACAGCCAACUGUAUCACAUUAUGCUGUGACUUGCGGAUGCUGUGUUGCUGUGUAUUGCUGCUGCUGUUGUUGUCACCAGUCCCCCGGUGACCCAGUUUCUUGAACCAACAAUGAAAACCUGCCAACUGUGAUGUUAAUGGUUGACUGCUUCUGGUGUCACGUUCCCUGGGAGACAGUCUUGCCACAUCACUUACCCAGGACACAGUGUUGUAAUGUCACAAGAUGAGGUUGAGGGCAGAAAACACACAUGUAUCUGCCUUAAUAAAAAUACUUGUACAGUUGCCCACAAGUACAGUGUUUCCACCCCUCAGUGGCCUUUCCAAACAUGUGACAACGUCGGCAUCACUUUAUAAAUGAAUCGGUAACGUGAAGGGUGGAACACUAUACCUGUCGGCAACAGUACAUAAGUGUUGUUUUAAUAAAAGGAAGGAAACACAGUGAGUGAUGUAACUCUUCAUGUAUUCCAGCAUGGCUGUCUCCCACCACUUACAACGCAACCUUAAUUUAGUAGUCACAUCACAGGUGUCGAGAGAUCACCGGACACAGAAUUGGAUCAGUAUCUCAAUAUUAGAAUAAUGUAUUCCUUUAGGUUAAGUUAUUUUUGGGUAUAAGUGUUAAGUUAUGUUAGGGUAGAGGUUGGUAAUAUUUUAUUUAGUUAAGUAUGAGGUAAAUCUUGCUAGGUUAGAUUACCGUUUGUUUAGGUUAGGUUUGAUUAGGUUAGGGGUUGGUAAAAUUUGAUAAAGUAAAAUAUGGGGUAAAUCUGGCUAGGUUAGGUUAUGGUUUGAUUAAGUUAGGGUUUAGUGAGGUGGCUAAGUGGAUACAGUUUUCGCCUCUUGUUGUAAGGGCGACCACAGUCCACCCAGCUGUAGAUGAAUACCUAACAUUACAGCUGCAAAGUGAACACAGUCAGAUGUAGUAUUGGCUAUUCUGCUACUUAUGUUCCAAAGGCUUAGUGUACACUGUGCUCUAUGCACACGAUAUCAGGUCACCUGGUUUAUGAAACCCAUUUCCAUCUGCAUUAGUUGCACCAGCUGUACCACCUGUACUAAUUGUAUCAGAUGUGAGGAUCAGAUGCAACAGUUGAGGUGUGAGGGUCAGGAAUAACACCUCAAGAGCAGCACUUGAGGUGUGAGGGUCAGGAGGAACAUAGACCACGUAGGGCUCACAGGACAAGGAUCACCAUCAUGUACAUUUCAGGAUACUGUAUAUAGUGUGUCCAGGUACAAAAUAUUUUUAAUAUACAAAUGCAAACAUAAUGGUUAUAUUUUUAUACUUGUUGGUGAUGCAGUGAUUGUAUCUGUUGUAUAAUACAAACAUCUACUGAGAUCAGGGGCAGGGAAACUUUUGAGGUCGGUGAGCCAGAUUGAAAUUAUUAAGGGUUUUAUGGGGUCACCUAUUAUUUUCAAUGUUAAUUAUUUUCUGUGCAGAAUUAAUGGGUAUGACCGCUACCCUGGAAGAUCAUUCCAAUGCAACUCCAAUAUUUUAAUUUAGUCAUAUAAGAGUGUAUAUUAAUCCUCUAAAUUUCAUUCAAAUCUAUCGACUAAUUUUAUACCUCCGAGCCUUCCUUUAAAGGAGACAAAAACACUGAACUUGAGUAUGGCCACAGGCCAUCCUGGGACCUCGGCGGGCCACAAAUGGCCUGGGGGCCAGUUUCCCCACCCCUGAGUUAGAUGAAACUUUCCUCUUGAUAAAAAUCAACUUUGUGAUUGAUAAUUAUAUUGUGUAAACUCUU
rnacentral:misc_RNA from 1 species